UCCACGCUAACCUUUGGGUUUCCAGCCUCUUGGUGACAGGGACCCAAUAUAAAAAAACCACACGUUUGUCUUCCCCUGGCAGCUGUCUGCCUUUUCCUUUUCUUACCUUAUAAACACAACAUCCACAAAGUGAUACCUUCGAGAUGCCACGUCGAUUGGUAUCUAGGAAAAGGACUGGAAGUUAUUCACAUGAAUCCAACAUGAAAGGACAUUUCCAUUCAUUGUGUUAGCUCAUCCGCACAGCAGCGUGUGGAAUCUGUGGGCAGGGAGUGGCAUCUUCCUUUUACAGAAGCAUCUGGCCACGAAAGGAGACUGGAGAGCAACUGAGUGUGGGGUGCGUUUCCCAGUCCUCUGAAAUCAUUUCUGUGGAUUCCCCCACUAGCCUUUGCAAGAGGAGAGAACAUUUACAGGACCUGGAGGAGCUACUCAUUCUGGGGCUCAGGUACUUGAAGAGCAACUCUCAGUAUCUAAUAUCAUUCGAAGAGAGCCGAAAGGAUGGAAGGCAUGGUCCCUCAUCUCUAGGGAUUUACCGUGCAGCUGGGGAGCCCACAGGGCAGCUGCUAACACAGCCCUGAGAGAAGAAAGAGAAAUCCUCAAGUGGCAGAAAUGAAGAGGGAACUCACAGCCAAAGCAGUUGUCCCAGGGAGAAGCAAAGAGCCAACACAGAUAUUGACACUUGAAGACACUUGGAGAUGCAGACAGAAAGACAUUUGGAGAUGCUAAGCUAAGAGAUGAAGCCCAGAGUUUGCCCCAGAGAAGCUAAGAAAGGACCCCCAGAAGCUUGGAAAGAAACACCCCAGGAGAACCAAGCAUAGAGCUGAGAGAAGCUAAGAGAGACAGAAGCCCAGAGACAUUUUGGAUAAAGUCAUUUUGGAAGCAGAACCCGGAAGCAAAGGACCAGCAGAUGCCAGCCACAUGCCUUCCCAGCUGACAGAGGUGUUCUAGGCACCAUCCGCCUUUCUUCAGUGAAGGUGUCCUCUUGUUGAUGCCUUAGUUUGGACAUAUUUUUU